rnacentral:misc_RNA from 1 species
GAUGAAGAACGUAGCGAAAUGCGAUAAGUAAUGUGAAUUGCAGAAUUCAGUGAAUCAUCGAAUCUUUGAACGCACAUUGCGCCCACCAGUAUUCUGGCGGGCAUGCCUGUUCGAGCGCCAUUUCAACCAUCAAGCCCCCGGCUUGUGUUGGGGACCUGCGGCUGCCGCAGGCCCUGAAAACCAGUGGCGGGCUCGCUAGUCACUCCGAGCGUAGUAAUACAUCUCGCUCAGGGCGUGCUGCGGGUUCCGGCCGUUAAAAAGCCUUAUUUACCCAAGGUUGACCUCGGAUCAGGUAGGAAGACCCGCUGAACUUAAGCAUAUCAAUAAGCGGAGGA